UGGGAUCACACCAGCACGCAUUAGCUAGGUCCAUUGACUGUUUUCUACAGUCAUUGGCUAGGUCUUUCACUUUGAAAGCAAAUGAGACAGGCUGCAGAUGGUGGUGCGGAAUUAUCGAUUGAUUUGGUACAGCGAGCUGUCUGGAAGAAAGACUGGCUCAACUUCAUUUAGCCACAUCACCUGAGCAGGAGUCACCUGAGUCAGACCUGAACCAUCAAAGUGUGAGUGACAGGGUGUCUUUAAGCACCUUUGAAUCAAAUGUGAAAGGCAUGGGAAAGCAGACUCAAGGUCAUCAAAGGCCCAAAGGACCGUCCUGUAAACUGGCAAUAAACCAGAAUACCAAUAUAAAGAUUUUUCUUUCUAUUAACAGUGGCCAAGUAAGUUAGAAAACACAGUGGAUCAAAAAUUAAAAAGUGUGCCACUGCACAGUGUCUCCCCGCUCAGCAGAAAAGAGCCAGCCCCAUCCCUCAGCCCAGCCACACAUCCACCAUAGCAGCAGUCUGGAAGAAUCACACCCAUCAUAUUCACAUCGAGAUGUGGGGAAAAAAGGGAAAACUCUAUUUUUUCCAAAAUGGGAAUCAUGAAGGGAAAGACAGCUGAAAUUAAACACGAAGACAUUUAUUAAUGGACAUUUAUUAACGUCCCCGGUUGACCUGGGGACGUCAACCGGCGCCCUCUCCGGUGGAAGAUCCGGAUAUGUGUGGGAUGAGGAGCAGCUGGCGCAGGGCAUUGCGCCUGUAAGCAAUUCUUAACCCCCCCCCCACCCCAGCACAAAAGAGCCAGCCCCAUCCCUCACCCCAGCCCAGCCCCAACCCACAGCACAACUGAUCAGGUAAGCUGACUUCUCACCUGAUCAGUUGUGUUGUCUCUUGUCCCCGGGUUGGCACAGAGCCAGCCCCAUCCCUCACCCCACCCCAGUCCAAACAAACUUUAGAUAAUCUCUCACAUGGAUUUUCAUUUCUGCCCCCCACCAUCCCACCUGGCGGGGGGGAGUGGGGGGAAUCCCUCACCCCACCCCAGUCCAAACAAACUUUAGAUAAUCUCUCACAUGGAUUUUCAUUUCUGCUCCCCACCAUCUCACCUGGCGGGGGGAGUGGGGGGCAUCCCUCAACCCGGCCCAGCCCAACUCCACAUCGACAGCCCAAGAGGACAAAGGAAAGGAAGGCAGCAGGUCCAGAUAGAAUCUGCUGCUGGACUGUGCAGAACAGCUUUGUCAGGUAAGAAGUCCAGAACGAAGGCUGCCAACAUCCAGAGACUGGUGACUCCUCGUGCGCUGCAGCACUCAAGAGACAGCACACCCAGAAGAACAAGGAGGAGGCCUCAGAGUACGCCAAGCUGCUGGCCAAGAGGAUGAAGGAGGCCAAGGAGAAGUGCCAGGAACAGAUCGCCAAGAGGCGCCGCCUUCAUUCUAUGAGGGCGUCCACAUCCAAGUCAGAGUCCAGCCAGAAGUGAAACAGAAUCAAAUAAAGUCAUGUUUUGCUGAAA